rnacentral:lncRNA from 10 species
CCGGCUCCGGGGCGGAGCCUGGGGCACAAUCCCGCCCCCUUCCUGCUACACCCACUGCAGGCCGCGCCUGGCCUUGAUGGGCAGACGUAUUGGCCUGUGGAAAGGGGGUGGGCGGAGCCUCUGCGGCCAGAUGGGUGGGGAUUCAACAUCCUCUUUCCGCCCCACCUCCACCCGCUCCACCUUCCCCCGCGCUUCCUAGGCGGGAGCCCCGCCCUCUAGGGCGGGUCCAACGGACAGCCAGGUUCUAGGACAAGGAUUGACACAGGGGGAAUCCAAUCAGGAGGCGGCGACUCGGGGCGCGGAGAGCUCCGGGCCGGGGUUUUGGUGCCUUGCCUGGGCCGGGGCGAGGCCCUGCGGGAGCCGACUGGGAAGGUCUGGAACUCUGACACCCCGCCCCGCGAGCUGUGCUCUCAGUCUCAUGUCAUCCCACCACAAGGACAGAUAUUAAGUACCAUAUAUGGGAAAAAUGCUAUUUUACAUAAUUAUGAUCCCUGUGGGGGCGGGCAUGGACUCAGCCCUGGAUUCCAUUGUGAGCGUCUUGAGUUCGAUUCCUGACCCUGCCUCUUUAGGAUCCGCACGUUGCUGCCUUUCAGCCUCCAAACCUUCGCUCUGGCCGUUCUCUCCACCUGGAAUACCCUUCCGAGCCUCUCUUCACCUCCAUGUCAUUAACUCGCAUACAUCCUUUCAGAUAUUUCCUGAGGGCUUGUGAUUUGCCAGAUCCUGUACCAGGUGCUGGAACUUGGUGAUAGACAAUCCACAGUCUCUGCUCUGAAGACAUCCAUGCAGGUACUAACAGGUCAGCCUGGUAAAUCCUGCGAAGGCUUCAGCACAGGGUGCUGUUGGGGAAAGAGGAGAUGGGGUGUGUAGGGUAAGGGGGAAUAGCAGCUCAUUCCAGACAGGAAAAACUGGGUGCGUAGCCCAGAGGGGAGAAGACAGUCUGUGCACAAGCUCAGUGAAAGGGGAGGGAAUGUCAAGAAGGCAGCAGGAGUUGGAAGGGGCAAGGCCCUGCAGCAGAUAUGCAGUCCUGGGACCCUCAGCAUCACAGCAGCAACCUCACCUGGAGCCUUUAGAAAUGCAGUCUCAGCUGGACAUGGUGGCUCAUGCCUGUAAUCCCAGCACUUUAGGAGGCCGAGGCGGGCGGAUCACGAGGUCAGGAGUUUGAGACCAGCCUGGCCAAUAUGGUGAAACCCUGUC